rnacentral:SRP_RNA from 1 species
GCUGGGCAUGGUGGCACAUGCCUGUAAUCCCAGCUACUUGGGAGGCAGAGGCAGGAGAAUCACUUGAACCCAGGAGGUGGAGGCUGCAGUGAGCACAGAUGGCGCCACUGCACUUCAGCCUGGGUGACAGAGCGAGACUCUGUCUCAA